rnacentral:rRNA from 1 species
CGGAGAGUUUGAUCCUGGCUCAGAUUGAACGCUGGCGGCAGGCCUAACACAUGCAAGUCGAGCGGUAGAGAGAAGCUUGCUUCUCUUGAGAGCGGCGGACGGGUGAGUAAUGCCUAGGAAUCUGCCUGGUAGUGGGGGAUAACGUCCGGAAACGGACGCUAAUACCGCAUACGUCCUACGGGAGAAAGCAGGGGACCUUCGGGCCUUGCGCUAUCAGAUGAGCCUAGGUCGGAUUAGCUAGUUGGUGGGGUAAUGGCUCACCAAGGCGACGAUCCGUAACUGGUCUGAGAGGAUGAUCAGUCACACUGGAACUGAGACACGGUCCAGACUCCUACGGGAGGCAGCAGUGGGGAAUAUUGGACAAUGGGCGAAAGCCUGAUCCAGCCAUGCCGCGUGUGUGAAGAAGGUCUUCGGAUUGUAAAGCACUUUAAGUUGGGAGGAAGGGCAGUAAAUUAAUACUUUGCUGUUUUGACGUUACCGACAGAAUAAGCACCGGCUAACUCUGUGCCAGCAGCCGCGGUAAUACAGAGGGUGCAAGCGUUAAUCGGAAUUACUGGGCGUAAAGCGCGCGUAGGUGGUUCGUUAAGUUGGAUGUGAAAUCCCCGGGCUCAACCUGGGAACUGCAUUCAAAAC